rnacentral:rRNA from 1 species
AAUGAACGUUGGCGGCGUGGAUUAGGCAUGCAAGUCGUGCGGAAAGGCUCCUUCGGGAGUACUCGAGCGGCGAAAGGGAGAGUAACGCGUGGAUAUCUACCCCCUGGACUGGGACAGCGGCGGGAAACUGCCGGUAAUACGAGGUAAUGUCUGCGGACCAAAGGGGUGAUUCCGCCGGGGGAUGAGUCCGCGUCCUAUUAGCUAGUUGGUGGGGUAACGGCCUACCAAGGCAAAGAUGGGUACCGGGUGUGAGAGCAUGGCCCGGCUCACUGGGACUGAGACACUGCCCAGACACGUACGGGUGGCUGCAGUCGAGAAUCUUCGGCAAUGGGCGAAAGCCUGACCGAGCGACGCCGCGUGCGGGAUGAAGGCCUUCGGGUUGUAAACCGCUGUCAGAGGGGAGGAAAUGCAUGAGGGUUCUCUCUCAUGUUUGACCUAUCCUCAGAGGAAGUACGGGCUAAGUUCGUGCCAGCCGCCGCAGUAAGAC